rnacentral:misc_RNA from 1 species
AACGCACAUUGCGCCUUUUGGUAUUCCGAGAGGCACGUCUGUUUGAGCGUCAGCAAAACCUUCCGGCCGAACGGUUUAUUCCGGGGAGCUCGGGCCAGCUGGCGUGGGGACUGGCCGCGGCGCUUCGGCGCUGGCGGACCUUCCCCCGCUUAAAAGUGUGGAAGUUAGCGGGGUGUGCCCCGGAUCGCGACGACUCGUAAGCAUUUUACCGUCCGAAGCGUCCGGAACCGCCCCCCGCCUUAAACCAAAAAAAGGAGGGCCCCCCGUGGCACUUUUUUUUCGAACCCUUGACCUCAGAUCAGACGAGGAUACCCGCUGAACUUAA